GAGAGAGUUACAAAUAAUUUGGUAAACAAGGGUCGCAGAACAAAAUCUCUGUUUGGCAGAAUUCAUAAGGUCAGAUUCAAUAGAUAACUGGGCAAGUGUUUGGACUCCAAAUAUUUCAAUCCAUAUAUCAAAAGAAAGAUCUACGAGUCUAGUUUCCAAUGAAAUCAGUUUUGAACAAAUCGGAGUUUCCAACAAAGACUUAUAGGCAGCUCGGUAUCAAAAGGUCAGAAUCUCAAAAGUUGCACAGAUUCGAAUUGUUACGUCUAAACAGGAGAUAUAUUAAAUGCAAGGCUAGAACAAUUCAAAGUUCC
rnacentral:lncRNA from 1 species